rnacentral:lncRNA from 1 species
UUAAGAGAGUGUGGUCUAAAGAUUGGGAUUUUUAAGUGCCCCAGCUGGCCAAUAGGACAGAAAUGUUUAAUUCAGGGCAACUUUCCUGUUACCCUGAACCAAACCGAGAUAACUGACUGCCUUCUCUUUUCAGGCAUUCAUUUACCAGAAGAACAGGGAAUGAGCAAAAGAAAUUCUCAAAGAAUUUUUCUUUUGAUACUUACCCACACUUCCUGUGCUCUGAGUCAGACCACAGAAAUUGACAAAUAUGUGCAGAACAUCUUAGAGGAAAAAUGAGAAAUGAAGACAGAUGUCAAAACUAUGUAGAAACACAGCCGGCCAUCUUCUUAAAGACUCACUUUAACACGAAUAACAUUUAACUCCAUCGUCAACAAAACCGAACUUCCUAAAAAAUAAUUCAGCAUGGAUUUCUAUGAGCCAUGUUGACUGAAGACAGAUAACCUGGCAGAUGUGUUGACUCCAACAAAACAAGGCGAAUGUUCUCAGGUUUUGGGUAUUGUGUCUCUCUGAGGUGAUAACCACAGAGCGAGUUUCUCUGCUCUUGGUGUGAAGCAGUUUCAAAUUGUUGAACCCCAGGGUUCCUACAAGGCUUCACCUUCAGCUAUUUCUCUCUCUCUUUGCAGAAGAAGGAAGCCAGAACCAAGUUAGAAUCAACUUGUCUACCUUAUAUUUGCUAUGAAUUUCCAUCACUCCUCUUCAUAGUGACAUCUAAAUGCUUCCAUUACAAGAACUAUAUUUGUUUCUUGUAAAAUACCUUUUACCUCUGGAUUCUUCAGAAUUAUGGCAUGCAGUGUGCUCAUAAACACUAUCUGAUCUCUUCCAAACACAGUUGAUCUCUCCACUGCUGGAUGCUUCCAUUUUAUCGUUCGUCAUCCACAACCAGUCUCCAUGGGGUAAAAUCAGCAAGAGACUCCGCGUGAUGUGUUCCCUUGUCUGCAAGUGGCCACAUUAAUAACCUUUUGAAGGGCUUUUUUCAUUUCCACUCUCUGGGAGGAAUUUUUUUAACCACUCAAGCCUUGGGGUCUGUUUAAACAAGAAAUUGUUUUACACUCCUGAAUGAUGCAUUCCUCUCCAGCUAUUUCUACAUAACUUCCAGGAUAUGAAAACCGCCCAAGGCUUUCCAACAUGGCUGCUUUCUUUCCUCUCAUAAACAAACUCAGCAGUAAUCAUGCCAUUGUGGUCACUCUGGGGCUUUGCAUUGCUUCAACUUUUUCCCUCAGUCUUUUGUUCUGCCAGACACUGAUUAUGACAGUUCACCCGAAUCUGGAAAGCAAGAAUGCACUCUUCUGCUGGUCUCUGGCCUUUAGCCUUUUCCUUUGUCCUCCAUGAAUAUAUGAGGCCAACAGGAGGGAUCUAGGCUCAGUAUGAUAGGCUCAAUAAUGGCUUACUGAGAUGUCAGGUUCUAAUCCCUGGAAGCUGUAAAUGUCACCUUCUAAGGAAAAUGGCUCUUUGCGGAUGUGGAUUAAGCAAAUAAUUAUACAUGGGAAGAUCAUCUUGGAUUACCUGCAUGGGCCCUAAAUGCAAUCACAUGUGCCUUAUAAGAGGGAGGCAGGGAGAAAUUUGAUACAGACAGAAAAGGAGGAGAUAAUGAGGCCAUGGAGGCACAGAGUGGAGUGAUGUUGCCACAGGCCCAGGAAUGCUGGCAGCCUCUGGAACCUGGGAGAGGCACAGAGCAGAUUCACCCCCAGAGCCUUCAGAAGGACCAAGGUCCUGCCACCACCUCAAUUCUAGUUCAGUGAAAGUGAUUUUGGACUUCUUGUCUCCAGAACUGUAAGAUAAUGAAUUCCUGUUGUUUUCAGCCACUUUAGUUAUUACAGUAGCCACAGGAAACUAAAAUGCUUGACCACCUGCAUCUGACCUUCAACAUCUCCAGCUGCAUGCAUCACUGCUGCAGAGCUCAGAGCAUCCCAGCACACACCUCCUAUGGCAUUCUUGAGGAGGUGCUGAUGCUUUUCCUUCCUCAAUUGAUCCAGAGAAUUAACAAACUUCUGUGGCAUUCUGAUGUUUUGAGAGCAAACAUGAGGAAACAAAAGCCCCAAAGGAAUAUUCAAACAUGACUUCUUUUUUUUUUUUUUUUUUUUUUUGAGACAGGGUCUCACUCCAACACGGCUCACUGCAGCCUCAACCUCCUGGGCUCAAGGGAUUCUCCUGCCUCAGCCCAUCAAGUAGCUGGGACCACAGUUGCACCUCAUGACACCUGGCUAAUUUUUUGUACUUUUUGCAGAGAUGGAGUUUCACCAUGUCGCCCAGGCUGGUCUUGAACUCCUGAGCUCAAGCAAUCCACCUGCCUUGGCCUCCCAAAGUGCUGGGAUUGUAGGCAUAAGCCACUGCGUCCAGCCGGAACAUGACUUUCUGAGCUCCACUGUAGGCUCCCAGUAAAACAUCCUUGCACCAAGCUCCCGUCUUCUUAUUGAAGCUGAAAUGUUACACAAAAUGUCUUCAAGCCACUAAACAGUCAUCAUGAUUUUAACUCAUCUGUUUGGAUUUGGACAAGUUACUUAAUUUUUCUGGGCUUCAAUUUCUUCACCAGGAGUGCUGAAUGGUGAGCCAGGAGGCUUGGGCCCCAGGACAAGAUGGCCUGGAUGCUAGGACAGGGUGACCGCUCACUCUUUGAACAGUACCUCUCUGGCCUUCUGCUUAGUGUCCCAUCUCCCAGCCAAAGGAAGGCCACUUUUCUGAGCAAGCUGGACAGUCUGAGAGGCAGUUCCUCCAGCUCUUAUGUUCAUGAAGUUGAGCUUUGGUCAGGUGGGUCUCCACACGUCUUCUCCAGCACGACAAUCCUUCAGGUAGCUGAGAUAAGGUUGGUAUAACCAGCACAACCCCAGAAAACCAUCCUUAUUGGUCAGCGUUCUCCAGAGAGGCAGAACCAACAGGAUAUGCAUACAGAGAAAGAGAAAGAUUCAUUUUAAGAAAUAGGCUUGCACAACUAUGGAGGCUUGGUGAGUUAAAAAUUUGAUGGUGGUGGCCGCUAGGCUAGAGAUGCAGGGAAGUUGCAGUUUGAGUCUGAAGGCAGUCUGCUGGCAGAAUCCGUUAUUGCUCAACAAGAUGGAAUGGGGGUGGUCAGUCUUUGCUCUGUUAAGGUCUUCAAUUGACUAGAUGAGACCCACCCACAUUAUAAAGGGAAAUCUGCUUUACCCAAAAUCCACCAAUUUAAGCAUUAAUGUCAUCCAAAAAACACCUUCACAGAAACAUCCAGAAUAAUGUUUGACCAAAUAUCCAAGUACAGUGGCCCAGCCAAGUUAAAACAUAAAAUGAACUACCACACUUUCCCACCAGACGUACAAGUCUUCACCCCCUCCACUUGUUUGCACUUAUGAAUAUCCCAAGAAGAGCAGGAGAGGGUUGUCUAUAUGGGGUGACCAGGGAGAAUGUAGGCAAUGUCUAUGGCAUCACUACAGCUAGGUGACCAACAGGUAAGAUGAAGGAUGCUAAUGAAGAUCUCACUAAGAUCCACCGAGCUGGAAUCAAGAGAAGGGGCUAGGUCUGCGCAGAUGAAGCCUCCCUUUCUCUGAAGCUCCUGGGCAUGCAAAUGAUGCAUGGUUUUUCUGAAUUUUGUUUGUUUGUUUGUUUGUUUAGCUAUCAAUUGCUGUGAAACAAACUACCCAAAACUUAGUGGCUGGUCUCUCCCAACAACCAUUUUAUCAUUGCUCAUGAUUCUGCGACCAGGAUUUCAGACAGCACACAGAGGGUGGCUUGUCUGUGUCCCAUGCAAUGUCUGCCGAGGCUAGAAUGUCCAAGAUGACUUCUUCACUCAUACAUCUGGUCCCUCAAUUAGAUCGGCUCAAGUAGCUGAAGGCUGACAGAGACACUUUAUGGGAGUCAGAAGUCUGUAGCCUCAAUUCUCACAGUUGGCUGGGUUCUUCAGUCUCCACGCAAUCUAUGGGCUUCUCUCUCUCCACAAAGUUCGAUCCUUCCAAGAUACACAAUCAGAAAUGGCCAAACCUUCUUAAAGCUGAAGUCCACACCUGGCACUGGGUCCCCUCUACCAGCAUUCUAACAGACCUCAUUUUGUCUUGAAGAUCCUUUCUUACUUCCAAAGGCAUUUGCACCUCACACUCAUUUUUCUUCCAGUACUCUCACACUGGAGUUGAUAGCCCAUUAGACCCAAAAAUCUUCCCCAAAGUGAAACUAGUUUCCCUUUCCUUGAGUUGAGAAGAUUUAAUAUCCAAAUUUUCCAGAAGGUUUGGAAGGAGAUAUUGCAUUUCAUUUUCCUUAGAAGCAUGCAUUGUUAUGGAUAUUGGGACAUCUGGACAUUCCAUUGUCAUAGGAGUGUGUCCUUGCAGGUAUCAUCAAGCUGUUUUCUGAACUGUAAACAUCUUAGGGCUGUGGGUUGUGACCAGCAAGGAAUGUGCCUUAUUAGUGUCAAGAUGGAGCUGAACUUCAAAUGACGUGACUCUGACUCUCCUAUGCUCUUGUUUCCCUAACAGUCUGACAAGGUUAACCUUCAAGGACUGCAUCAGGAAUUGGUCACAGUGCUUAGCAACAGGUUCUCUUCACUCUUGUCAUUUACAUAUAGACGACAGCUAAUAUUCAAAUCCGUGUAGGCAAACCCACAGUUGAUUAAAUUAAAUCUCUUCUCUAGCUUGAUUUGCAUAACUUGAAAUAAUCAGAAUAGAGAGUGAAUGCAUAAUUGAAAAGAGAAAAUACGUACUGCAGCUAUUUGAAACUAGAUGUCGUUGAAUUAAGCUUGUAAAUUCUGAUAGUACUGAAUGUACAACUGUUCUAGGCUAACUUUACAUUUGAAAUGUUAAGAAAUGUGAGUUGUGAACUGGAAAGUUAAUUAACAAACAAAAUCUUAGAAUAUUGCACUUUGUUAUGGCAGCCCUAGAAAUAA